rnacentral:rRNA from 1 species
AACGUAGGAGACAAACGUUAUCCGGAGUUACUGGGCGUAAAGGGCGUGUAGGUGGUUUUGUAAGUCUGGCGUGAAAUUUUUCGGCUUAACCGGGAAAGGUCGUCGGAUACUGCAAGGCUAGAGGACGGUAGAGGCGUGUGGAAUUCCGGGUGUAGUGGUGAAAUGCGUAGAGAUCGGAGGAACACCAGUGGCGAAGGCGACACGCUGGGCCGUACCUGACACUGAUGCGCGACAGCAUGGGGAGCAAACAGG